GCCGCCGUAGCUCAACGGAUAGAGCGGACGCCUCCUAAGCGGACGGUUGCAGGUUCGACUCCUGCCGGUGGCAC
rnacentral:tRNA from 1 species